UACGGGGGGAGCAAGCGUUGUUCGGAUUUACUGGGCGUAAAGGGCUCGUAGGCGGCCAACUAAGUCAGACGUGAAAUCCCUCAGCUUAACCGGGGAACUGCGUCCGAUACUGGAUGGCUCGAGUGUGGGAGAGGGAUGCGGAAUUCCAGGUGUAGCGGUGAAAUGCGUAGAUAUCUGGAGGAAUACCGGUGGCGAAGGCGGCAUCCUGGACCGACAUUGACGCUGAACGGCGAAAGCUAGGGGAGCAAACGGG
rnacentral:rRNA from 1 species